UCUUGCGGGAGAGACCAACAGGGAUUGCCUCAGUAACGGCGAGUGAAGCGGCAACAGCUCAAAUUUGAAAUCUGGCCCUCGGGUCCGAGUUGUAAUUUGUAGAGGAUGCUUUUGGCGCGGUGCCUUCCGAGUUCCCUGGAACGGGACGCCUUAGAGGGUGAGAGCCCCGUACGGUUGGACACCAAGCCUCUGUAAAGCUCCUUCGACGAGUCGAGUAGUUUGGGAAUGCUGCUCUAAAUGGGAGGUAAAUUUCUUCUAAAGCUAAAUAUUGGCCAGAGACCGAUAGCGCACAAGUAGAGUGAUCGAAAGAUGAAAAGCACUUUGAAAAGAGGGUUAAAUAGCACGUGAAAUUGUUGAAAGGGAAGCGUUUGCGACCAGACCUUUUCCUGGCGGAUCAUCCGGUGUUCUCACCGGUGCACUUCGCCAGGUCGAGGCCAGCAUCGGUUUCCGCGGGGGGAUAAAAGCUCUGGGAACGUAGCUCCUCCGGGAGUGUUAUAGCCCUCUGCACAAUACCCCCGCGGGGACCGAGGACCGCGCUCUAAGCAAGGAUGCUGGCGUAAUGGUUGUCAACGACCCGUCUUGAAACACGGACCAAGGAGUCGAACAUUUGUGCGAGUGUUUGGGUGUCAAACCCUCACGCGUAAUGAAGGUGAACGUAGGUGAGAGCCCUUACGGGUGCAUCAUCGACCGAUCCUGAUGUCUUCGGAUGGAUUUGAGUAAGAGCAUAACUGUUCGGACCCGAAAGAUGGUGAACUAUGCGUGGAUAGGGUGAAGCCAGAGGAACUCUGGUGGAGGCUCGCAGCGGUUCUGACGUGCAAAUCGAUCGUCAAAUCUGCGCAUGGGGGCGAAAGACUUAUCGAACCAUCUAGUAGCUGGUUACCGCCGAAGUUUCCCUCAGAUAGCAGUGUUGUUCUUCAGUUUUAUGAGGUAAAGCGAAUGAUUAGGGACUCGGGGCGCUUUUUUGCCUUCAUCCAUUCUCAAACUUUAAAUAUGUAAGAAGCCCUUGUUACUUAAUUGG
rnacentral:rRNA from 1 species